GUCCAAUAGGUCAUUGGCAAUGAUUCAUAGUUCUAAGAGGAAGAUCGUAGUACACUGUUUAUUGGUGUGUCCAUGCUCGUAUCAGGCAAGGGAAUUCAUGAGAACUAGUUUAACUGAGAGAAUGGUCCUUGAUGGAGUGCAAUGGCAGAACAGGAUUCAUGUAGCUGAUUCCAGUUGGUCUUCAGAUGAUGUUGAUCUUCUUGGCAGUUAUCUGUUUGGAUGGUGAUGGUUGCAAGUUAAGAAGUGGACUGGUGAAAAUUGAGGAAGGUUUAACUCUUGACACGUUAAUUGCUUGUGAUUCAUGUGAUCUUUGGUAAGUACAUUUCUUUGACAAAGCUUCCUAGAAACCAAACUAAUGAUAAUUGCCAACUCUUAAACUCACUGACACACGUGCCCUUAACAGCAAGAUGACUCUCAUGCACUAUCUCUGCAAGGUGGACUACUACAUGCUGUCCACACUGGACUGCAUGGAUAGAUCCGAAUUUGGAGCUAUUUUGGCCUACUUCUACAUAUGCGGUCGUACAAAUCUCUUUGGAGAGUAAAAAAAGGUGCACUUGUUAUCCUCUGCCAAAUACAAAUGCUAGCCCAUUGUUAAUUGAUAGUA